rnacentral:rRNA from 1 species
UACAGAGGUCCCAAGCGUUGUUCGGAUUCAUUGGGCGUAAAGGGUGCGUAGGUGGCGCCGUAAGUCGGGUGUGAAAUUUCGGAGCUCAACUCCGAAAUUGCACUGGAUACUGCUCUGCUAGAGGGCUGGAGAGGAGAUCGGAAUUCACGGUGUAGCAGUGAAAUGCGUAGAUAUCGUGAGGAAGACCAGUGGCGAAGGCGGAUCUCUGGACAGCUCCUGACGCUGAGGCGCGAAAGCGUGGGGAGCAAACAGG